UUUAAAUUAGGGCUCUUUGGCGGCAGAGAUCGGUCAGCCUCCUCCUGUGCUGCUUUACGCGCAGCUUCUCCUCUCGGUUCUGCUCCUUGAUGGCUCCACCAUUAGAGCCCACGGGAGACGAGCGGCAGCUGCUGCAGGCGGAGGAAGGAGAAGUAGUGGCUGGAGAGGAAGAGAACAAAGACGCGGAGUGGUGCUACCAGUGGCCGGUCUUCAGAUUCGACCGAGCCCCGCGCAGGCUCUACCACUUCCGCCAGCAGUUCCGGGCGGGAGAAAGCCCUAGCGGCAACUUCUUGAAAGGGGUGAAGUGGUCGCCCGACGGCUCCUGCUUCCUCACCAGCUCCGACGACAACACCCUCCGCCUUUUUUACUUACCGGAGGAUGCGUUCACCGAUCGUGCGGAGUGUACUGGUGCUGAGAUUGAUGGACCGGAUUCAUACGUUUCUAGUCUCACUGUGGGCGAGGCUGAGACCGUCUAUGACUACUGUUGGUUCCCUUACAUGUCUGCAUCAGAUCCUGCAACCUGUGUAUUUGCAAGUACAACACGCGACCAUCCGAUCCAUCUGUGGGAUGCCAAUUCUGGUCAGCUACGUUGCACCUAUAGAGCGUACGAUGCCAUGGAUGAGAUAACAGCUGCCCUUUCUGUUUCUUUCAACACAUCCGGAUCCAAGCUUUUCGCUGGAUAUAAUAAAUUUUUAAGAGUUUUUGAUGUACAUCGCCCUGGACGUGAGUUCCAGCAGCAUUCUCUGCUUAAAGGAAAUGAUGGUCCUUCAGGUAUUGUAUCUUCUAUAGCCUUUUCUCCUACUCACAUUGGGAUGGUUGCUAUUGGCUCUUAUAGCCAGACGACUGCAAUUUACUCGGAGGAUAAUAUGGAGCUGUUGUAUGUUUUACAUGGCCAAUUAGGGGGUGUUACACAGGUAUUGUUCUCAAAAGAUGGAAAUUAUCUUUAUACAGGAGGGCGGAAGGAUCCUUAUAUAUUGUGCUGGGAUAUACGCAAUACCAUUGGGAUAGUUUACCAACUAUACAGAUCAUCAGAACAUACAAAUCAGAGAAUAUCAUUUGAUAUUGAGCCUUGUGGCAGGCACCUUGGUACUGGGGGAGAGGAUGGUCUAGUUCAUAUUUAUGAUCUUCAAACUGGGGACUGGGCCGCAAGCUUUCAAGCUGCAUCUGAUACUGUAAAUGGUUUCUCAUUUCAUCCUUCUUUGCCAUUGGCUGCAUCAUCAUCUGGGAACCGAAGAUUUGAUUUGCUAGACAAUGUUGAGGAGAAAUUAAGCUUGAGUGGUGACCAGAACUGUGCCUCAGUGUGGUCCUUCUCUGGUUCCCCGGAGUUGGGGCAUGAUGCAGCUAUCACAGAUGAAGCAUUGGAUUCUGGAGAUGUAUCCCAAGAGAAUGGAAGGGGAAAACAUCCAGUUGGUAGCUUGGAUUGAGCCACUGGUUGUUCCAUGAUUACGUUGGAGUUCUGCUGUGUAAGCUUCCAGUUUUCACAAUCUGAGAUAUGAUCAGAUUAUUGUUGAGGAAGACUUUGGUCACAUGAAGCUUGCUUCACAUUGAUAGACUUUUUGAGAUUCAGAAAGUUCCCAAGUCCAUUUGAAGGCUUCUUCACGAUGAUGAACAAUUAAGUUUGCAUUACUGUGAAUCAUUACCAAUAACAAAUUGAUUUAGAACUAGAUCA